rnacentral:rRNA from 1 species
UACGGAGGGAGCUAGCGUUGUUCGGAAUUACUGGGCGUAAAGCGCGCGUAGGCGGCUUUGUAAGUUAGAGGUGAAAGCCCGGGGCUCAACCCCGGAAUUGCCUUUAAGACUGCAUCGCUUGAAUCCGGGAGAGGUGAGUGGAAUUCCGAGUGUAGAGGUGAAAUUCGUAGAUAUUCGGAAGAACACCAGUGGCGAAGGCGACUAACUGGACAGGUAUUGACGCUGAGGUGCGAAAGCGUGGGGAGCAAACAGG